rnacentral:siRNA from 1 species
UAUCGAUUUCAUCACGUGCGGGU